rnacentral:misc_RNA from 1 species
GCUUGAGGUUUUUUUUGCAAGCCCUAAAUUUGUUUUCCCCUCGUGGCUUUGUGCCUUUGUCGUCCUCUACACGACUUUUCUCCCCAUCUCCCACAGCCAAGUCCCCAACCCACCUCCACCUCCGCGCCGAGGAAUCCACACUUGCAAUUGCAACUACGAGCCCACCAAAUCGAGCCGAGCCCCGACGGCACCAAAUCGUGCGGCCUCGGAGAUCCAGCAGGGUCUAGAAGAACCAGGAGAGACACCGUCAGAAGAGGAGGGUCAGCAGCAGCCAGAAGAGGAGGGCCAACAGCAGGCAGGCGGUGGCGGCGAAAUCGUCAGCGGCUGCCGGGGUAUCUGCGAUGAUAACCCGGUCGAAGCUGGUGGAGCAGCUGCGCGACUACCAGAUCCGAUCCCAGCACAAGCGUGACAUUAUCGGAGCUAUAUCGUGGGGCUUGCUGUGUAGUUUUCUGAUAAUAUCUUCGUACAUGAUGUUGUACUUCAGGCACUUUUGGCUUAGUGCUAUUAUUAUCUCACUGGGUAUUCUUUUCCCUGCCGGCCUGUAUAUUUUGAGGCAAAGAAAGCUGGCUAAGAAACGAGAGAGAAGACUGUUGUUGCCUCUCUCUAUGUAAGGUUGUUUGUAGGUUUCUUGUUUUUUGCGCCUAUUCUUGUCUUGAUAGAAUCCACAUUCUUGUCUUGUGGCUUGUCUAGCACACAUCCAACUUUUUAUACAUCUCUGC